rnacentral:rRNA from 1 species
GAAUCUUCCGCAAUGGACGAAAGUCUGACGGAGCAACGCCGCGUGAGUGAUGAAGGUUUUCGGAUCGUAAAGCUCUGUUGCCAGGGAAGAACGCUUGGGAGAGUAACUGCUCUCAAGGUGACGGUACCUGAGAAGAAAGCCCCGGCUAACUACGUGCCCGCAGCCGCGGUAAUACGUAGGGGGCAAGCGUUGUCCGGAAUUAUUGGGCGUAAAGCGCGCGCAGGCGGUUCAUUAAGUCUGGUGUUUAAGGCUAGGGCUCAACCCUGGUUCGCACUGGAAACUGUUGAACUUGAGUGCAGAAGAGGAAAGUGGAAUUCCACGUGUAGCGGUGAAAUGCGUAGAGAUGUGGAGGAACACCAGUGGCGAAGGCGACUUUCUGGGCUGUAACUGACGCUGAGGCGCGAAAGCGUGGGGAGCAAACAG